CACGUAGGGCGCAAGCGUUGUCCGGAAUUAUUGGGCGUAAAGAGCUCGUAGGUGGUCUGUUGCGUCCGCUGUGAAAAUCCAAGGCUUAACCUUGGGCUUGCAGUGGAUACGGGCAGACUAGAGGUAGGUAGGGGAGAAUGGAAUUCCCGGUGUAGCGGUGAAAUGCGUAGAUAUCUGGAGGAACACCGGUGGCGAAGGCGGCAUCCUGGACCGACACUGACGCUGAGGAGCGAAAGCCAGGGGAGCAAACGGG
rnacentral:rRNA from 1 species